ensembl:lncRNA
GUUUGCUUUCUCAGAACAUUUAAUGUGGUCGUGUUUCUUAGUUAAUUAAGUAAUCCUACCCACAGUUAUAAGAACACAGAGGUAAGAUUUCCUUCAAUUUGUUCAGUUCUGCGUAUAAGAAGAAAAGCCUUAAGAGUAAGGCCUUGCUUUUAUCAGAUAUCUCAAAGGGAACUCAGAAAAAGCCCAGCCAGGCUAACAGCGGGUUUUGCAACCCCCAUUGCUCCCUUUGGAGCACAGUCACCUGGCUGACUCAGAGAUCAGCUCCAGAUACUGCUUUGGGACAUCCAUCUCCACCUGGCUUGAGAUUCUUCCCCCUGAGAGGUUUCCUUACCUGAUGGACAAGGCAGCUGUCAUUGUCAUUGCUAUAUUCUUUGUUUAGUUUACAUACUUGCUGUAUGUCUGGUGCAUGCUACACAGAAAAGGAAAGAAAUGCUACAGAAGCUGAAGAAGCAAAAUGUCACGGUCAAGGGAGUUCAUCCAGCCCCUCUGUUCUCCACUGAUGAGGCCUCACCAGUGUUCUGCAUCCAGGAGUCCUCAGUAUAGGAGAGACACGGACCUGUUGGAGUGCAUCCAGAGGAGGGCCACAGAAAUGAUCCAAGGGAUGGAACGCCUCUCCUAUGAGGACAGGCUGAGAGAGCUGGGGCUGUUCAGCCUGGAGAAGAGAAGGCUGCAAGCUAUUCGCAGAAACUGAAGAAAUUUGCUGUGCUUCUGGAAGGCUCUUCUGAUAUCCUGCUCAUAGGCAACUGUGAUAGAAGGAAUGAUCAUGUAUAUAUACAUAUUUGCAGAUAAUCUGAAGAAACUUUAUGCAAGAUGCUGACUGACAAUUUCUGAGGAUGGAAAUCUUCUAUUUAGCAAUCAGUCUGUUUGCCUACAGUGCUUGCCAGUAUGACUCUGGCCGUUUCAGGAAGACUAGACUCAAGAUGUGAAGAUGUCUAGCCACCAGUUAGUUUGGUUCCAGCCCCUUUGCUGAAGUUUGCUGAGCCUUCCAGGUGUCAUCCCAACUCCCUAAAUAGCUGCUUAGCAUCCUCUUCUACCUCAGUAUUUCUCACCCUCUGUCCCAUAAUUGUCAGUGCCUUGGAUGGUCUGCAUGCAACCCACUUAAGGAUUUCUCAAGAAACGGAGGGUGAGACAGCCUGGGUAUGAUUGCCCUCCAGGGCAAGGUUUUGUGAGAAGAGAGGGAGAAGGGCAAUGCCCAGAAAACUGUCAUCAGUAGCAUUCUGUAACCAAAUAAACACCUUCUUAGAUGUCCAGGCCUGGGUGCGCCUUGAUGAUCUUCUUUCCAUGACAGGUUUGGCUGGAGCUAACAAGUAGUCUGUUCUGUGCACUGCUUUCCAGAGCAAUCAGUUGGGAAUACUUUACAGAGUGUUGUCUUACUCCAGGUCCUCAGGGCUUCAGAGGUCAGCAUCCUACACUCUGGUGUUUCUCUAUCAGUAGCUCAUGUAUUUUCCUUAUUUUUAUACCAUGGCUGACGUGAGCAAAUAGACAUGUCGUGCAGAAGGAGAGCAGGUGCUGCUACCACCAGCUCCUUGGCUGGGUGCAGUAGCAUGGCACUGGUAAGUGUGAGGCAUGAGCGGCAGCUACUCAGGUGGUGCGCUGCUGACCUGGGAUGCACGCAGAUCUUUCUAGUCAGAAAAUACACCUCAGGAUGAAGCUGUGGCCAUUUUCUGCCAGAUAGCUAGGAAGUGGCUUUCAUGGGGAAAGCACAUAACAACUGUGCUCUGGACCACUGCCAUUGUUUCCACACAUCACACUAUUGUUCUGUUAUCAAUGCUAAAAUAAGUUUGAAAGGCUAACUCUAUGUGUACUGAUCCACAUUUUUCUGCAUUAUCUUUAUUUGCUAAUUACAGCACCGCAAGAUAUUCUAAGGGCAACCUUCCUCUUGCACCUCUGAGGCACUAUCAUCCCUCUAUGACAAAACUGCAGUCACCUCCAGCUCCGCAUUCUGUCCAUCUCAUCCUGUGAUAAAGAUCCUCCUCAGACCUGGAGGAGCAUUAUGAACACAGCCUCUCUGCAUUUGUCACUAUCUGUCAGCCUUCUUCAGUGCUGUGGGAAUGAGCAGCAUUUUGGUCAAGGGUCCUGCUUGCUUUAUCUUAUCUCUGCUGUCACUACUGUAAACCUGCGAGAGCCCACUUGCCUUCUUUUUCUUGAGAGCUUGUGUGGUGAAAUUUUGACUGUGUUGUGACAAAAAUGUGUAAGUGAGUAAGAGCUGGAUGGAUGUUUAGAAAUCAUAAAGUAAAACAGCGUCUGCAGACAGUGGUGAUAACAGCUGGCAUCUUGUUUUGGACACUGGAAAAGAUUAUUCAUCACCAAGGGUUACCUGGGACCAUCUUGCACUCGUUGUACAGUAGUGGUAGUAGGAGAUGGUUUGAUGCUGACAAGGUGGUUGCCAAUCUUGUUUGGAGUGGUAGCUCAACAGCUCAACUUCGGGUUAUUUUUCUGCUCCACUUCAGCAUUUUUGGCAUCCCUAUGAAGAGAU